rnacentral:rRNA from 1 species
UGAAAUCCCGCAGCUCAACUGCGGGCUUGCAGGCGAUACGGGCAGACUCGAGUACUGCAGGGGAGACUGGAAUUCCUGGUGUAGCGGUGAAAUGCGCAGAUAUCAGGAGGAACACCGGUGGCGAAGGCGGGUCUCUGGGCAGUAACUGACGCUGAGGAGCGAAAGCGUGGGUAGCGAACAGGAUUAGAUACCCUGGUAGUCCACGCCGUAAACGGUGGGCGCUAGGUGUGGGUUUCCUUCCACGGGAUCCGUGCCGUAGCCAACGCAUUAAGCGCCCCGCCUGGGGAGUACGGCCGCAAGGCUAAAACUCGAAGGAAUUGACGGGGGCCCGCACAAGCGGCGGAGCAUGUGGAUUAAUUCGAUGCAACGCGAAGAACCUUACCUGGGUUUGACAUGUACCGGACGACUGCAGAGAUGUGGUUUCCCUUGUGGCCGGUAGACAGGUGGUGCAUGGCUGUCGUCAGCUCGUGUCGUGAGAUGUUGGGUUAAGUCCCGCAACGAGCGCAACCCUUGUCCUGUGUUGCCAGCACGUGAUGGUGGGGACUCGCAGGAGACUGCCGGGGUCAACUCGGAGGAAGGUGGGGACGACGUCAAGUCAUCAUGCCCCUUAUGUCCAGGGCUUCACACAUGCUACAAUGGUCGGUACAGAGGGCUGCGAUACCGUGAGGUGGAGCGAAUCCCUUAAAGCCGGUCUCAGUUCGGAUCGGGGUCUGCAACUCGACCCCGUGAAGUC